rnacentral:rRNA from 1 species
GACAGAGGGUGCAAACGUUGCUCGGAAUUACUGGGCGUAAAGCGCGUGUAGGUGGAUUGGUGUGUCAGAUGUGAAAUCCCUGGGCUCAACCCAGGAACUGCACCUGAAACUACCAGUCUUGAGUGGUGGAGAGGGAAGUGGAAUUCCUGGUGUAGAGGUGAAAUUCGUAGAUAUCAGGAGGAACACCAGUGGCGAAGGCGGCUUCCUGGACACCAACUGACGCUGGAGACGCGAAAGCGUGGGGAGCAAACAGG